GCCUCAGUAGCUCAGCUGGCCAGAGCGGCUGCCUCGUAAGCAGCAGGUCGCGCGUUCAAAAAUAAGGGCGCCACACCCG
rnacentral:tRNA from 1 species